rnacentral:rRNA from 1 species
UACGUAGGGGGCAAGCGUUGUCCGGAUUUAUUGGGCGUAAAGCGCGUGUAGGCGGCCAGAUAGGUCUGCUGUGAAAACUCGAGGCUCAACCUCGAGCUGUCGGCGGAAACCAUCUGGCUAGAGUCCGGAAGAGGAGAGUGGAAUUCCUGGUGUAGCGGUGAAAUACGUAGAGAUUGGGAAGAACACCAGUGGCGAAGGCGGCUAUCUGGGACGGUUUCUGACGCUAAGACGCGAAAGCGUGGGGAGCAAACAGGG